UACGGAGGAUGCAAGCGUUAUCCGGAAUGAUUGGGCGUAAAGCGUCCGCAGGUGGCUGUGUAAGUCUGCUGUUAAAUAGUGAGGCUCAAUCUCAUAAAGGCAGUGGAAACUACACGGCUAGAGUGCGUUCGGGGCAGAGGGAAUUCCUGGUGUAGCGGUGAAAUGCGUAGAGAUCAGGAAGAACACCGGUGGCGAAAGCGCUCUGCUAGGCCGCAACUGACACUGAGGGACGAAAGCUAGGGGAGCGAAUGGG
rnacentral:rRNA from 1 species